rnacentral:rRNA from 1 species
AGUGAACGCUGGCGGUAGGCCUAACACAUGCAAGUCGAACGGCAGCACAGUAAGAGCUUGCUCUUACGGGUGGCGAGUGGCGGACGGGUGAGGAAUACAUCGGAAUCUACUUUUUCGUGGGGGAUAACGUAGGGAAACUUACGCUAAUACCGCAUACGACCUACGGGUGAAAGCAGGGGAUCUUCGGACCUUGCGCGAUUGAAUGAGCCGAUGUUGGAUUAGCUAGUUGGCGGGGUAAAGGCCCACCAAGGCGACGAUCCGUAGCUGGUCUGAGAGGAUGAUCAGCCACACUGGAACUGAGACACGGUCCAGACUCCUACGGGAGGCAGCAGUGGGGAAUAUUGGACAAUGGGCGCAAGCCUGAUCCAGCCAUACCGCGUGGGUGAAGAAGGCCUUCGGGUUGUAAAGCCCUUUUGUUGGGAAAGAAAAGCAGCAGGUUAAUACCCCGCUGUUCUGACGGUACCCAAAGAAUAAGCACCGGCUAACUUCGU